UACGAGUGCCUCAAGCGUUAUCCGGAAUCACUGGGCGUAAAGGGUGUGUAGGUGGUCUUAUUAGUCUCUUGUAAAAUUCUUCGGCUCAACCGGGGUACGCAAGGGAAACGGUAAGACUUGAGGGUGCGAGGGGUGAAUGGAACUCAUGGAGUAGGGGUGAAAUCCGUUGAUAUCAUGGGGAACACCGAAAGCGAAGGCAAUUCACUGGCGCAUUCCUGACACUGAAACACGAAAGCGUGGGUAGCGAAUGGG
rnacentral:rRNA from 1 species